UACGUAGGGUGCAGGCGUUAAUCGGAAUUACUGGGCGUAAAGCGUGCGCAGGCGGUUUGCUAAGACAGGUGUGAAAUCCCCGGGCUUAACCUGGGAACUGCGCUUGUUACUGGCAGGCUUGAGUGUGGCAGAGGGGGGUGGAAUUCCACGUGUAGCAGUGAAAUGCGUAGAGAUGUGGAGGAACACCGAUGGCGAAGGCAGCCCCCUGGGCCAACACUGACGCUCAGGCACGAAAGCGUGGGGAGCAAACAGG
rnacentral:rRNA from 1 species